UACGAAGGGGGCUAGCGUUGCUCGGAAUCACUGGGCGUAAAGCGCACGUAGGCGGACUCUUAAGUCGGUGGUGAAAUCCUGGAGCUCAACUCCAGAACUGCCUCCGAUACUGGGAGCCUUCGAGUCCGGGAGAGGUGAGUGGAACUGCGAGUGUAGAGGUGAAAUUCGUAGAUAUUCGCAAGAACACCAGUGGCGAAGGCGGCUCACUGGCCCGGUACUGACGCUGAGGUGCGAAAGCGUGGGGGAGCAAACAGG
rnacentral:rRNA from 1 species